CACGUCAACAUACGUCGUCUCUGCUCGCGCGGGCUUCCAAACGUGUCAUGGCGUCCAUGUUUGAGCGGUUCGUGAGUCCGGGCAAAGGGAAUGGCCUGCGAGCGACGACAGCAAUCAAAAGCGGGAAGUUGCUCUUCUCUUCCGAGCCGCUGGCGAGCUGUGUGUCGACAAAAGUGGCCAAAGAUGUCUGCCAUCGCUGCUUCGCGAGGCGUGAGACAUUGCUGCGGUGCUCCCAGUGCAAGAUGGCUCGCUACUGCAACAUCACAUGCCAGAAACAAGGAUGGGCUGACCAUAAGAAGGAGUGCAAAUGUCUGCGGAUCAUCCUUCCCAGAAUUCCUACUGACUCCGUCCGACUGGCUGCAAGACUAAUUUUUGCCUUGUUAAAUCCUGAAAAUAGCAGAAGUGAGGAGCUCUACUCGUUAGACGAACAUGAAUCACACCUGAUCUGCAUGUCUGAGCAGAAGAAACAAGGUCUAUCUCAGCUGGCAUCCAUGCUGGAGUUAUACUUAAAAGAGGAAGUGCCUGAACUCGCCCUGGAGAUGACUCUGCCAGAGUCCUGCAGACAGCCUCUUGACCUGAUAGCAAAGGUGACGUGUAAUUGUUUCACCAUAAGUGACGAAGAGCUGCAAGCGAUUGGAGUUGGGCUGUAUCCCAGUUUAUCGCUGCUAAACCAUGACUGCAGGCCAAAUUGUGUGAUGGUGUUUGAAGGAACAAAGCUACACCUAAGAGCUGUUCGGGAUAUCAAACCUGCAGAGGAGCUAACAAUUAGCUACAUAGAGACUUUGUCAUUGACGGAACAGCGUCAGAAACAGCUGGAGGACCAGUACCAUUUCACAUGCCGCUGCCAGAAAUGUGACUCCCAAGACACAGACACACUCAUGCAGUCAGGUGAACAGGCAACAUGGUACAAGUUUAUGGAGGCUUUACCAAAAUUGGAAGGACUGAAGGCAGCCUCAGAUUGGCAAACGCUCCUGGAGGGUUGCACACGUCUGUUAUCAAUUGAGGGUUCUGACGUGCCCGAUGAAAACCUCUAUAAACUCAGAUUGACCGAUAUGGCUCUGGAUUCCACCAUUCACCUCGGUCACUGGGAGGAAGCGACAAGACAUGGGGAGCGGACACUUCCAGUUUACAAACAUUACUACCCUGACCCCCAUCCAGUCCAUGGCAUCCAGCUGAUGAGAGUUGCAAAGCUGCAGCAUUAUUUGGAGCGCAUUAAAGAUGCUCUGGACACCUUCAAACAGGCCUUUGAAAUCCUCAAGAUCACCCAUGGUAUUGAUCACCCCUUGGUGGCUGGUUUGUUGGUCAAGAUGGAAGAAUGUCGCUUUGAGAUUGACCAAUAAUUAAACUUGAUAAGGGAAUGAUGUGAGCCCCAACUUCUUGUUUUGUACUUCUUAUGAAGCUGUAUAUAAGGCAGGCUCUCCCCAAUGGCCACUUAGCUAUCUCAGUGCACCUCGAAUUGAUUCAUCCAUCACCUGCCCUUCCGUUUACUUAUAAGUGGAGAAGACGUGAGGACUAUUGGGUCAGUCCGUCACGAGAACUCGUUAAAAUAUCCCAGACGAGAUGCCUUUAUUUGGGAGCAGUUUCUAUAUUGUCAGAGGAAGCGGUCCGCCGCUUCGCCGUGCGUCUACCGAUGUCUGGACGACACAUCGAAGCAGGUGAUCAUCAUGAGGUGAGCUUUGCAGAAGUUCACUCUGUUCUCCAGUUUGUCUGUCACCGUCUCCAGAGCUUCCAAAUACUCCAGUGAAUCCACCUCGUAGACCUGCUGCAGCUCAACUGGACAAGAAGAGAAGAGAAAAUAUCCUCAGGCUUCAGUUUUAAAGUACUGAGGGGAGAAUCUUUCAUCCAGCAGCGAGUUGGUGUGCUGUCGAGUGACUUGAACUCCUUUAACAGAUAAGUCGAAAAUGUCACGUGGGUGUUUUAUUAUGUUGGCAUCAAGUGAGUGUCAGAUCAUUCGCAAGAUUUUCAUGCACAACAAACCAAUCAGUGAUCCUCAAUGAGUUUCAUCGAAGGAUUAAGUGCUACUUUGUAUUGAUUUGCAGCGACGCUAUCAGUGGCGGUCGCUGCUUAUGUUUGUUCGUUUUUUUUUUGGUUUCUUUCGCACCGCUUCAUCUUUGUAAUGAGGCUUUUAUGUAGUUUAACCCUGCUGUAAUGUCCCUUUUAAUGAGAUCGCACUGAGAAUCUUCUGGCUGAGUCCAAUGACGUCUUGCUUUUCCCAUCCUCAUUCACCCGAGGAAAAACGCCGCAUCCAAUUUGUGAGCCCUGACGAUGCUGCUCUCACGAUGAACCGUCCAGCAAAGUCACGUAGAGACGCAUUCAUCACACUUUUCUUCCUGCAGUAUCUAAUCAAGCUUCUCCAUUGAGUUGUCACCCAUGACGUUAGCUGGCGAGGAUGCUGAUGCUGUUAAUCAACUUUAAUGAUGAGGAAGUUCAUCAUCACCAUUUAAGUGAUCUCCACGGAACCACUAACAUACGUCUGUUCUUCAUGACACACAUACUACUCUUGGGCACAAGCCACGGUCCGCAGAGAGCUUCCACAGCAUCAGAGGGAUCUCAUUUUUCAAAGGCGCUCGACGUCAUCAAUCUCGUACACUUUGAUCUCAAAGGCCUCCGCUGUGGCCGACGGACCUCGUAGGGUUCCGGAGGCAGGCGGCCCCAGAGGUCCGUCCACCCAGCAUGCACCUGGGCUGGAGGAGGAGGAAGAAGAGGACGUGGCAGCCUGUUUGGCAGAGCGGUGAGGAGACGAGGAUGAGUCCAAGUGCCGGUCGGAGAGCACGUUUAAUGUGCGCGUCUGCCUCAUAGUUCUGAAAUUCAUCGCCUGGUCACCAGCCAAUCACUAAGCACAUAGAGACAAACAGCCAUUCUCAACAUCCACACCGAUGGGGAAUUAGAGUCUUGAAUUAACCUAACAUGAAUGUUUUUGAAAUGGAAAAGGAAGCCAGAGCACUCGGAGACAACCCAUGCGAACGCGGACAAAAUGGAAGGCCAGAGCUGAGAUUCGAACCCUAAACUUCAGAACCGUGCCAGGUCCAAUGUAAAACAUAACUCCGAAUGGUCGCUGGUGUGCUGGAGCUUAUCUCAGCUGACUUUGGACGAGAGGUUCGGUACACCACAGGGCACAUAUAGACAAACAACCGUUCAUACGUCAGGACAAUUUAAAGUCUUCAAAUAAGCUAACAUGCAUGUUUUUAGAAUGCGGCAGGAAGUCGGAGUACCCAGAGAAAAGAACAUCCACACUGGAAGUCCUGCUGACACCUCACCUCCUAAGUGUCCAACGUUGCUCCUGCUCUUCUUGUUGCUCUUGGAGCUGCGUCUGGAGGAGGUGGUGGCCGAGCUGUGCUCACUGAGUGAAUCCUGAGCAGAGGAAGUACUUCCUGUGUUCUCGCUGCUGUCUCUCAGCAUGCUCUCGUAGCCGCUGCUGCCUCCACUGUGAUAGAACAAGGCCGUCUUCCCCAUGGCCGGGGGAAGCUCACCACUCAGUACGCUGCUGUUAAAACGCCAAAAGAAGAGCCUUGGUCAGAAAAUAGUGCAUAAAUGAUCCAAAAAAAAAAAAAGACACCACCAGUGAGCAUCUUUGGUGGCAACAAAAGCCUUAGUUCUGAUAUUAUGAAAGCAUUUUUGGUUGGUGUAGAUGUUUCACCGUUACUGAAGAAGCUGGAUUAAAGUUGGAACAGUCUUCAACAAUGAAGGAGUCCAGUUGCAUUCCAUUACCAUGACCUGGAUGACUGACAGUCUACAGUACAGACAGCUGUCCAAAUACCUGUUGUCGCUGGCGUGGCCACUGCUGCAGCGAUGUGGUUUUCGCGGAGCAGUGAUCUUGCUGUAAGGAGAGGGAAGGGUUUGGACCGCUGCUGCUCUUUCCUCCCCUGGGCCACCUCCAGCAACACCUGCACCCGGUGCCCCUCCGCUAUGAAGAAAAACGAAACAUUGGCCGAAGAUCUAUCUAUUAAUACUCAGAGAAAAUCUCGAUAGGGUAAAAAUGGCCAACCUUGCCCCUUCAGCCCCUUUCUCCUCUGCUGGAUUCACAGCUCCUCCCUGGGCAUGAUUCCUGGAACGUGAUCCGGCACUACCUUGGAGAAGCUCUGAGAUGCGGCCAUUGACUGCCCGCAGGGGUAGCUUGGCAGCCAAACUUCCCCCUCGACUGCGGCUCAGAGAUUGCGUAGACCAGGAUGCAGGAGAGGGUCCCUGCUGCUGCACAGGGCCCUGAAUGGUGGCCUGUGGCUGUGGAGGCAGAACAAAGAUAGAGAGUAGUUCAGAGGACAAAGGCGAAGCUCAACAAGCGAACAACAGUUUGCAUAACUGUUGUUGAUUACUACUGGCCACUUAAGUGCUUGAGGACUUUGCACUAUUUGCACAAUUGUCAUUGUAUCAGCAAUACCACAUUUAUUGGUACCUUUUCAUUGGACAAUGACUCCCCAUACUUGUGUUCUUAUGUCCUAAAUAUAUAUUUGUCAUAGCAGCUGUUUGUUGUCGUACUAGAGUGGCUCCAACUCCCGGAGUCAAAUUCCUUGUUUAUUUUCAAAUAUUUGUCUAACAAAGAUGAUUCUGAUUCUGAUCUGAGUUUAUAAACUACACUGGUACCUUGGGUUAUGAGUUCAAUUGGUUCUGUGACCAAGCUCAGAUCUCAGUUUACUUGUACAGUAAUCCCUUGUUUAUUGCAGGGGUUACAUUCCAGAACAUCCCCGCGCUAGUUGAAAUCCGUGAAGUGGUGACCAAAUAUAUAUAUUUUUGUAUUAUUUAUGUAUAUUUUAAAACUUUAUGCAUAUAAUCACGAAAUAUAUAUUCAUGUGAGGAGCAGGUAUUAUUUUCAUUCACUUGGGGUCGCCAUCCUCAAGUUCUACUGUACUGUAGUAUCUGUGACUAUCUGUAACUGAAUGUGUGUGGCUGUAAAUGGCGGGAUGUCGGACUCGGGAAAAGAGAGUGUAGACUCAUCAUGUGUGAAUAUCUGCUUGUGUUUAUUUUGUUACCUUUGUUCAAUAAAGCGAUUGAAAGUG